UGCAGAAAAGAACAAAGAGCACUUAAAGUGUGUGUGCGUGUUUAAUAUAUACAUGUACAUAUACCCAGGUACAUACACCUUCAUAUUUAUAUGUUGUUUUACAAAUAAACGUCAAUAAUAAUGUCUUGUGGGGAUGUAGAACAGAAAUAUACAACAAAAGCACAAACAGCAGAAGGGGGCAAAUGGAGUUAAACUGUUCAACAUCCAUGGUAUGG